UGGAGAAAUUAAUGGACUUGAGAAAUACUUGUCCUGUUUCUCUGAUUUGACCCCAAAGAAAGUACAACUGAGGAUUGCUCAGACCAGAAGUCUGUGAGAUGCCACGUCUGAGGAAGAUGUCAGGAUAUAAAAAGCACCAUGACUUCUAUUGGGAGUGGAGGGCCUGGCAAAUCUCUGUCAAUUGUUUUCAGUGUUCUAAUGAAAGGCCUUAGCCACAGGGAUAUACACUCCCAGGAACAACAGGUUUGAUUCCCAAUUGUAUUUGCAAAGGAAGUUAGUUCUUCUAGCUUUUCAUUUACACAUCCUCACAGGAGGUAUAUUUGUCAGGAACCCAUGGGUUGGGUUUGGUAGAGCGUCUGACCAGGCCGGCCAGACAAGGCUUGGUGUACUAAGCUGUCCAAUAUUCCCAAAACUUUAAUUACCUCAACCUAAGUAUGAGAAUAUCAUUAUAAUUUUUGCCACCUAUCACACCACAUGCUCACACAGGCAC
rnacentral:lncRNA from 1 species